UUCCAGUUCUUGCCUUUAUUUCCUGAUUUACGAAGUAUCGAGUUGAAUAUUCAGCUAGUUAGGGAUGAAGAUGAAGAUUUUCCUGAUUCGCAUACUCAUCUGAAUGUUCAAGAUGUAGUUCUAAAGACAGACGCAUAUGUCAGCUCACCCGUCAGAUUUUUGAAUCUAAUUAAAAGAAUUAUGGUCAAGUUCCCUAAUUGUAAAAACUUUUCGUUCAUAUCUCACAAGAACUUUCUAUAAAUAAUGAGGAUUUGAUCGAGAUAAUCAAAAAUGUGCCCAAUUUAACUCUAUUGGUCUUGGAUAUAAAGAAUUGGGGAGAUGCAAAUACUAAUGAGAAACUAAACGAAUUCUGCAAAUCAACAGAUCGAAGAAUAAAUUUCAUCUUGCGUGGCGAUGAUCAAACAAGUGAUCAAAUCAGGGCUCGCUCACACACAUAUACACGAUACGCAUUGAACGAAGAUGUUUCGAGUCCUUUAAAGAUCGAUAAUGAAUUCUUACAAAAGUUCGUUUAUUGAAAUUCUUAUUCAUUAAGCUCGAAUUUGUAAUCACUUAAACUUUUGUACUCAACAUAUCAAAUGAAAAGUCAAGUGCUUUUUAUUAUUCGUUAGAUUUCAAAAUAAAGUUACAGUGAAAAUUA